UACAGAGGUCUCAAUCGUUGUUCGGAUUCAUUGGGCGUAAAGGGUGCGUAGGCGGCGCGGUAAGUCGGGUGUGAAAUCUUGGAGCUUAACUCCGAAACUGCAUUCGAUACUGCCGUGCUUGAGGACUGGAGAGGAGACUGGAAUUUACGGUGUAGCGGUGAAAUGCGUAGAUAUCGUAAGGAAGACCAGUGGCGAAGGCGGGUCUCUGGACAGUUCCUGACGCUGAGGCACGAAGGCCAGGGGAGCAAACGGG
rnacentral:rRNA from 1 species